ACGUUUUGGUAUUGAGGCGGUCAUCCUAAAUUAACAGGCACUGACUGGGGAGAAUCUACCGCUGUGCAGAGCACGUCGCGGUCUCCUGCAACAACUGAACAUGGCCUCGCCCUGCUACACAAUACCAAACG
ncrna:Salmonella enterica subsp. enterica serovar Mbandaka str. ATCC 51958 EFASI RNA